AUGCAGGUGUAAGUACGAGUUGACGUAAAGCGAAACUGCGAAUGGCUCAUUAAAUCAGUCUUGGUUUAUUUGGUCUCGAGAGCGAAAGUGGAUAACUGUGGCAAUUCCAGAGCUAAUACAUGCAAUUAGCGCCGACUUCGGAAGGCGUGCUUUUAUUGGAUCAAAACCGACCGGGUUCGCCCGUCUCUUUUGAUGACUCUGGAUAACCACGCGGAUCGCGCGGUCUUGUGCCGGCGACAAACCAUUCAAGUGUCUGACCUAUCAACUUUCGAAGGUAAGCUACGGGCUUACCUUUGUGAUAACGGGUGACGGGGAAUCAGGGUUCGAUUCCGGAGAGGGAGCCUGAGAAACGGCUACCACAUCCAAGGAAGGCAGCAGGCGCGCAAAUUACCCAUUCCCGACACGGGGAGGUAGUGACGAAAAAUAACAAUACAGGACUCUAACGAGGCCCUGUAAUUGGAAUGAGUACAUUCUAAAACUCUUAACGAGUAUCCAUUGGAGGGCAAGUCUGGU
rnacentral:rRNA from 2 species